rnacentral:rRNA from 1 species
AUGCCAUCAGAAUCUUGUUGUUUAACUUUAUACUUCUAUCAAAUACAUGCAAAGACUGAAUCCAUAUAUCUUCCUCGCUUUCUUAUUUGUAGGGAUGAACUCAAUAUUGUUGAAUCAUUUGCGUCAAGCUUGCCUGCUGAUACAUGGGUGAGCUGCAAGUUUGAAAUGAUUAACAGGCCAGUUGCUCCAGUACUAGUUCUUCUGCACAAGAAAUGA